rnacentral:rRNA from 1 species
CACGAACCGGGCAAACGUUAUUCGGAAUUACUGGGCUUAAAGGGUGCGUAGGCUGCGCUAUAAGUCGGGUGUGAAAUCCCUCAGCUCAACUGAGGAACUGCGCCCCGAUACUGUAGUGCUUGAGGAGGAUAGAGGUGAGCGGAACUAGCAGUGGAGCGGUGAAAUGCGUUGAUAUUGCUGGGAACACCCGUGGCGAAAGCGGCUGCACUGGGUCCUUUCUGACGCUGAGGCUACGAAAGCUAGGGG